rnacentral:rRNA from 1 species
GUCUAUGGUCAUACCACCAUGAAUGUGCCCUAUCUCAUCUAAUCUCAGAAGCUAAACAGGGUCGGGCCUGUGUAGUACUUGGAUGGGAGACAGUAUAGCAUAUUGUGACAAUUGCUU